AACGAACGCUGGCGGCAUGCCUAACACAUGCAAGUCGAACGAGACCUCCGGGUCUAGUGGCGCACGGGUGCGUAACGCGUGGGAACCUGCCCUUAGGUUCGGAAUACUUCCCCGAACGGGGUGCUAAUACCGGAUAAUGUCUUCGGACCAAAGAUUUCUCGCCUUUGGAUGGGCCCGCGUUGGAUUAGCUAGUUGGUAGGGUAAAAGCCUACCAAGGCGACGAUCCAUAGCUGGUCUGAGAGGAUGCUCAGCCACACUGGGACUGAGACACGGCCCAGACUCCUACGGGAGGCAGCAGUGGGGACUAUUGGACAAUGGGCGAAAGCCUGAUCCAGCCAUGCCGCGUGAGUGAUGAAGGCCUUAGGGUUGUAAAGCUCUUUUGCCCGGGAUGAUAAUGACGGUACCGGGAGAAUAAGCUCCGGCUAACUCCGUG
rnacentral:rRNA from 1 species